UCAAGCGAUGAUCUUGUUUCAUAGCGGGAGGAUGGGAUUUUACUAUUGCAUGGAUCUUCAGUGCAUGGUGGCAGUGUGUGAGGUCACACAGUGGUCACCAAGUCAAGCAAUUCUAGUUUCUCCAGGCUAUAAGACAUAGGUAAUAUCUAGGGCUUAGGCACUAACACAGCCAGAACUCAUCACCAGGCUCGGGCAGCAGAGAUUACCAAAAAGAUGUCAGUGACUCAGCCCCUAAUUGCCCCGUUUUCCCUUUUGCCUGCAUCUGUCUUGACCUAAACUGCCAUUGCCUUCCUGAGCUGUGACAGAAUGAUUGUCACACUGACUGCAAAAGUUAUACUCAAAACUACAUGAGCAACCAUAGCUCUGGCAUCUCUUUACCUGUUCUAGAUCACAGUGAUGUCAGGCAUAUACUUCAGAAGUGCAGGUGGAAAGAACUGGUCGGAAGGAACGAAGGUGGUGGUGUGGCCAAGUUGUGCCUAGAGGAACCCCCACGAUUCAGAUAAGAUGCAUCUCCAGGGACGUCCCGCACCACCACUGACCCGCUUGUUCUCCUUUGUGAAAGACGCCUCUGGUCUCACAGCGCUGAGCCCACAGGAUGCCAGUGACAAAAUGACUUCUGGUUAUCCUCCACUGUGGGCUGAAUCUGUCUUUGGUGGGUUGGAUACAUCCACAGAAAGGAAUCUGGGCGAGCGUGGAGUAUUUCCUGUACACAUGCUAAAUCCUUUAGCACCAAAUGUUUUGGGGGGGGUUUGUGCCCUUCUUACAUAUCAGACAAAUCUUUUGAAAACUAAUCCCAUAUGUAUUUAGUUUUAAUACAAUGUUUGGCUUUUAAUAGUAA